AUUGAACGCUGGCGGCAUGCUUUACACAUGCAAGUCGAACGGUAACAGGCCUUCGGGUGCUGACGAGUGGCGAACGGGUGAGUAAUGCUUCGGAACGUACCCAGAGGUGGGGGAUAACGCAGCGAAAGCUGUGCUAAUACCGCAUGUGAUCUGAGGAUGAAAGCGGGGGACCGAGCAGCAAUGUUUGGCCUCGCGCCUUUGGAGCGGCCGAUGUCGGAUUAGCUAGUUGGUGGGGUAAAGGCCUACCAAGGCGACGAUCCGUAGCUGGUCUGAGAGGACGACCAGCCACACUGGGACUGAGACACGGCCCAGACUCCGACGGGAGGCAGCAGUGGGGAAUUUUGGACAAUGGGCGCAAGCCUGAUCCAGCAAUGCCGCGUGCGGGAAGAAGGCCUUCGGGUUGUAAACCGCUUUUGGCAGGAACGAAACGGUGUCCGCUAAUACCGGGCGCUAAUGACGGUACCUGCAGAAUAAGCACCGGCUAACUACGUG
rnacentral:rRNA from 1 species